UCCUAUGAUGGCAUGAAAUCUUUGAGACCUGAUUUUCUUACUUGAUGUCAGCUAUAAGCAUAACACUGAGGAU
rfam:Cicer arietinum chromosome Ca7, whole genome shotgun sequence.